AACCCUCAACCCCCUUGUUUUGUAACGAAACAGGUGUCUGGGCUUGGAUUCUGGCUGUCUGCCGGUCCUUUAGGAUCAGCUCGGCUGAAAUAUACGAGUAGCUCGCUAAUUGAUAGCAUAGACAGCUCUAGCUCGGCGUAAUAAUUUACUUUUCGUCGAACCUUGAUGCAUUGUCUUAUCGAUUAUAGCAGCGCUUCUAAUGCGUUUCAUCCAUGAAACACAUAAAC
rnacentral:misc_RNA from 1 species